UGCAACGUUGCAAAUUUAUAGAAGGUAAGAUGUGUCACUACACCAUAGGUAAAAGGCCAAAUUGGGCCUGACACUGGAGCACUGCGCCCUAGCGCCCUAGUGUCAUCGCAAUAUUAUAAAUAUAAUUUUCUUUAUUUUAGGUCAUUCCAACUAGGUUUUCAACCUCCAUUCAAAAUUAUUCUCUAUUAUUCUCCUCUCCUCUAUAUUCCUUUGUUCUUUGGUGAUUUUCCUUUAUUCUUUGGUGAUUUUGAUGAUUGUAAAGCUUAUCUUGGACCGAUCUCAUGGCUAUAAGACUCUGAUACCACUUUUAUGAGGAAUUACUUGAAGACACCUCUACAAUACAUGGAAGAAUAGAAAGCACCCACGUUACUCACGCAUGCAAAAUGAUUUCAAGUUGAAUGUAUGUAGAGACAAAAUUUAAUUUAGAAGAGAAUUAAAGAGGAGGAAGAACGAAGACAACGAAUUUAUAGUGGUUCGGCCAUAGGCCUACAUCCAUUUUAGGGAGCUAGAGUUUAUUGAUCUCUUGGAGAGAAGUACAAGAUAACAAUCAGAUAAGUUUUCUACACUCUUGCUCUUUUAACUGCCUGCCUUUAUUUCUACAAGUUUUGUAGUUACAACAAAGUAAAAGAAUUUCACUGUUGAUUUUCACUCCAAAUGUAACGGCUAUUUUACACAUAGGAUAUUUUAUAUUUUCCUUUCCAACAACCAUGUUAGGGUCCUAAGUUGAGUCAACCUGAAAUAAUUGAGGGUAUUAGUAUGCGUCCAAAUUGUAGGUUGUGUUCUCCUUUCGAUUGUGGGUGAUCUCCUCGGUCUCGGUCUCAAGGGACCGAAAGUGAAGACCUUUCUUCUUGAGGGUUCGUGGGAAGAAAAAAAGUGAAUACAAAGGAGGAUGACCAACAAACAAGAGGAAACAAAAGUUUCGUAUUGGUACUCGUUUUGACUUCAAAUGCUUCGCAAUGACAUGACCUUAGAAUAAGUUAAUAAGUUUGCUUAAAUGUCACUAGGCCUAGUCUUUUAUGUCCUCCAACCAAAACUAAAAUUGACACAAAUGGGCUUUUCGGUAAACACAUUAAGAAAAGGACUUUCAUGUUUCUAUGUUGUAGUCCAACUUAAUACCUAAUCACAACUUUGUUAUAUGAUAAAUUUUACUCUCUUCUUUUUUUUUUUUUUUUUUUCAUUUUUAAAAUAUUUGUUAGCAUUUUCUACUAUGUGGUUUUGGAAGGUGGCAAAACUACGAGCGUAGCCCAUGAUACACUCAAGUAUUGCUCUAUAGAGACAGAAUGGAAAUAUAACCCAACAUUAUAAAAUAUGGACUCUUU